AGGGGAUUAGGUCAUGAUAUAUAUUAGAUAUUCUUAGGGAUAUCAUAGGGGAUUAGGGCAUGAUGUAUAUUAGAUAUUCUUAGGGAUAUCAUAGGGGAUUAGGUCAUGAUAUAUAUUAGAUAUUCGUAGGGAUAUCAUAGGGGAUUAGGUCAUGAUAUAUAUUAGAUAUUCUUAGGGAUAUCAUAGGGGAUUAGGUCAUGAUAUAUAUUAGAUAUUCGUAGGGAUAUCAUAGGGGAUUAGGUCAUGAUAUAUAUUAGAUAUUCGUAGGGAUAUCAUAGGGGAUUAGGUCAUGAUAUAUAUUAGAUAUUCGUAGGGAUAUCAUAGGGGAUUAGGUCAUGAUAUAUAUUAGAUAUUCGUAGGGAUAUCAUAGGGGAUUAGGUCAUGAUAUAUAUUAGAUAUUCUUAGGGAUAUCAUAGGGGAUUAGGUCAUGAUAUAUAUUAGAUAUUCGUAGGGAUAUCAUAGGGGA